UACGUAGGUGGCAAGCGUUGUCCGGGAUUAUUGGGCGUAAAGCGCGCGCAGGUGGUUUCUUAAGUCUGAUGUGAAAGCCCACGGCUCAACCGUGGAGGGUCAUUGGAAACUGGGGAACUUGAGUGCAGAAGAGGAAAGUGGAGUUCCAAGUGUAGCGGUGAAAUGCGUAGAUAUUUGGAGGAACACCAGUGGCGAAGGCGACUUUCUGGUCUGUAACUGACACUGAGGCGCGAAAGCGUGGGGAGCAAACAGG
rnacentral:rRNA from 1 species